AGCAGCCGCGGUAAUUCCAGCUCCAAUAGCGUAUAUUAAAGUUGUUGCAGUUAAAAAGCUCGUAGUUGAAUUUUAGCCCUGGCUGGGUGGUCCGCCUUUCGGCUGGUACUGCUCCGGCUGGGGUUCUCCUUCUGGCGGGCUAGCAUGCCCUUUACUGGGUGUGUUAGUGCGCCAGGACAUUUACUUUGAAAAAAU
rnacentral:rRNA from 1 species